AUGAAGAACGAAUCCUACUCUAUCAUCUCCUGUAACGUAAGAGGCUUAGGUGAUUCUGACAAAUGUGCAAAUGUAUUCUCUGAAAUUAACCUCCUGCGCCCAUCCAUAGCAUUUCUCCAAGAAACAAAACUACAAACGCCCGACACAAUUAAGCUUCGAUCGAUUUUGCCGCGUUUUCUUGACUCUAAUAAUCACCUUGACGCAAUUGGAUCCGCGGGGGGCUUACUUUCGGCCACCAACUCCAGAUGUUUCUCACUUAUCAACUGCCAACAUAGACGAUUCACAUCUACCUUAACUCUAACUUGUCUUGCCUCACCACACCACAUCUUUCUCACGAACGUAUAUGCGCCCUCUCAGCGUGAGCUGAAGUUGACCUUCCUACAGGAACUACAAGCCAUUGAACCACCCCCACAAUCUCCCUGGCUACUAAUUGGUGAUUUUAACCUCACACGAUUCCCAAACGAACGCAACAACGAAAACUUCCGCCGAUCCGAAGCUGAUGCUUUCAACAACACCAUUGAUCAACUUGCACUCAUCGAGCUCCCUCUCCUCGAUCGUGAGUUCACAUGGUCAAAUAAAAGGGCAUCACCCACUUUAAUACGUCUAGAUAGGGUUCUUAUCAACAUUGCCUGGGACGCCACCUUCCCAAACUCUCAUCUCACUUCUCUCACUAGGUUUAUUUCUAAUCAC
rnacentral:rRNA from 1 species